UAUCUCAUAAAGAAGUUCAAAAGCAUCUUCAACACCUUGUUCAUCUACAGAUCUUCCACUAUCUAAAUGUGCAGAGACAACAUCACGAUUAUACUUCAGUAUGUAGAAUGAAGUAUCACUAGCAAUAGCCACCAGAUCACCACUGUCAGCCCAGUAGAGGUUUUUGACAUUAACAUCAAUACGUCGUAUCAACCUGCACUCAAUCCAAUCGUAAAAGCAAAUGAAAUCAUUUGAGCACAUUGCCAAUAAGGUACCCCCAUAGAUGUGCUCAGCAGAGAAAGUCGGGCGGAUACUCUUUUUUUCCUGGAAAUUUUUGCUGAAAAUCUUAAUCCUUGAAGUACUUUCUCG
rnacentral:misc_RNA from 1 species